CUCUGUUCCAGUUCCAAAGGAUGUAACUUAUUUCAGAAAAGAAAGGGAGAUAAUACUGAAAAAAGUCUUACAGGUGACCGAGGCAAAACCGCUUGUUAUUCAGGCUGAUGUCAUGCAGAGGGAGUUAGAGAGCUGCUGGAGAAGGGAGUACACAGCAGCAAGCUUGCCUCUGCUGCUGCACCAGGUAGGAUUUCUGCUUGCUGCAAAGCUCCAGGAGGUUUCUUCUAGCCCAGCAGGUUGCACUGUGAUUUUAAAAUAAGAAUGGUAUGCAACUCCUUCCUGAAAACAGGCAUGAAUGUAUUAGUGCUUGCAGUAUAAAACAUUUCCUUGUCUGAUGUGAAAGAAUUCUAUUCUGUUUCUUUGAAGAAUGGGAAUCUCAGCCAGAUCAGAUGGGCAGGAACAAUGUUCAUGUAUUUCCCUGCUGCUUUUGCUCUGUUCUAUUAUGUCUGCAUUGCGGGAUAUUUUUAUUCUCACUUUUAAAAUGGAGCUCAAAUUUUUAGGCCCAGUGGAUGGAAUUCUGCCAUUUUCCUUGUACUAAGUGUUUUUUUUUCAUUCCCAGAAUAAUAGUGUUGUUGUUUUGUUGUUGUUUUUUCCACUGAGACAACUUAAGUACCCAACAUAAUAUUAAUGUACAGAAUGUUUAUAUUAUUAAUAGUAAUAAUAAUAGCACAGGGGUCUUUGACUGAUUAACUAUUAUUUUGGUGUUGUUGCCUGAUGCUCAUGAUGAUCUAUAUACUGCUUAAGUUUCCUAUCAUGUUAAACUACUAUUGUUUACUAAUGUGUGAUGUGUUGGUUGUUUUUGAUUUUAUUCAAGUUUUUUACAGACAGAAUCACUCAGCUAGUCCAGAGUAAAUAUUUGCACAUGCUUAGAUGGAAGAGAUUUUGUACGCACAGCAGUGUUAUUGAGCAGCUUUAUCCUCUCUAUCAGCAGCGAGUUAGUUACAUCAUGGAGGAAUACAAUGAUGCAGUUCAGAGGGCUGCAAGGCUUUCAGCUGCAAGGGAGAAUUUCCUGACAGGAAAGAAAAAUCCAGUGAAUGUGGUGACACAGGAAGAUCUGAUGAUUUACACGCAGUGGUUAGUGUGCCACUUACACUCUCUGAAGGGCAUUCACCGUUUUCUCCAGAUUCUCCAGCAUUUACCUGCUUCUCAUAGACUGAAUGUGGUUGAUGAGAAAUGUCCUGAUAUGAUCCCAGGCAACUGGGACAAAUUAAGUGCUUUUGACACGAAUUCAGAAUCCUGCCACAAAGUGCAUCCAGUGUCCUUGCCACAGCACAGCACUGAAACCGAGGAGCUGAGACCCCAGCUCCAGCUUCUGAUGGCUCACUUUGGUAUUGACUACAACCUUGAGGAUCUCAAGAACCCAGCUAAUGAGAUGGAGCUCUUUUCACUGGUUGUCAAAAAAUUUAGAAGCGUCUUCUGCAAACAGCAGACGAUGAGAACAUUUCCAGUUUAUGACGCAGAGGCUUCCAGAUCAGAUAAAUGGGGCAUGUUAGAUCCAACCAGGGCUUUGAAGAAGAGAGCCAAUUGGGUUCCCUUUUUAAAGAUUAAGCCUAAAGUAGAUCCCUGGCAGCAAAAGCUUUUGAUAAAACUAAAACAAUGGAGAAAAGUGGAUAAGAUGAUGGACCUUCAUUCAAAAUUUGUAGAGGUCUCGGACAUGGAGAGGGUGAUGGAGGGUCUCCAGAAUCAUGCAGCAGUGGUGCUCAAACCACAUGCUUUGCAGUCAAGUUCUGCCACUUCUCAUGCCUCAGGACAGCCGAGUUACGAUCAUAUCUGGAAGGAAGUCUAUGCCUUCACUGAGCAUCACCAGGAACUAAGUACUGAGGAUGAUCACACAGCUGUGGCUCACGGUGAGGAGGAUGUAGAAAACACCAGCUCCAGUAAGCCCCCAGGAUCCUACAGAAAGAGGAGCGAAAGAGGGUAUAGUUAUAUGAGCACCUUGCAUCUGCUAGGAUUGGAAGAAGGAACAACAAUUGCCAACAAGGAGCAUGUGGUGACAAGAGGAACCUACCUGUCCUUUCUUCUCCUACGUCACCUGAGGCUCCGAGAGCUAAAGGUAGGAAAAAAAAAAAAUCUGCAUGGAUCAAAGUUGCUGUAUUGUUACAAUGGGGGCUGUCAUCCAACUGCAGACACAACUGUGUGUUGUUCUGGUUCAUUUCAGCGAGUAUGCCUGGGGAUCCUGAACUAUUUCAGGUCUGUGGAGAGAAGCCUGACCAUCAGUACCUCAGGCCUCUCAUUCAAGGCUGGUCAUCUAAUUCCCAGCGCAGAAGACACCUCCUGGGUCAAUGCUGCCAAAGGAGGUACUGGUGUUUCUGGUGGUCUGCGCUCUCAACCCUAUAUUCACUACACGCCAGCUGACUACAAGGUGCAUAGCACUCAGUUCAUGGAGUUUGCAGAGGUGGAAAACCAUGAUGACUUUCACACUCGUGAAGAUGGGUAUAUUCACACACAGGACCAGAGAGGGGCUUACAUCAUAUAUGACGUGGCUUUAGAGGAUCUGAAGGAGCUUGAGAACCAGAUGCUGCUUGUGGCCAGUCAGUACAUUGAGAAAGAUAAAAGCAAUGUAACUUGUGGGAAGUAUGGUGGCAGCAAAAUCCUUGGCUGGGCACAUGCCUCUGUGGAUCGGUUCGCUGUGUUGCUUGACCUUUGGACCUGUGAAACUGCUCUCUUGGAAAAAAAAUGCCAGCUUUUAGAUGUUUACUUUGAAGCUUACCAACAUGCUUUGGACCCAGAGGAAAGAUUUGCUUUGGCCCAAGCAAUAACUGACAUCAUGCAUAAACAUCCGCGGUUUGAUCUCAAGCUUGAAUAUUUUGUGAACACCUACAAAGAUGAAUGCAUCUGUUUACAACUUCAUCACCAGCUGCUGAGGGACAUAGUAAACCAACAAAUAGAUGUUCAGAGGGACUAUGUCCACAAGAUUUGGCAGAAAGGUCAAAAAGGUGGCAUCAGUGAAUUUGGACUUCCUUAUAAUGUGAUUGCUAAGCAACUUAUCUCUCUUAACACUGGCCAUCCUACUUUGAAGAACAUUUAUUUGCUGGAGUUUCACCCUUCUCUCGGUCUGGUGUCCUUGAUCCCCAAAGUUCUUGAGUAUAUCUACCAGGAAUUCUACAGCAUGUGUAGACCCAAAACAGCCAGUAAAGUGAUUAAUUUAGAAAAACAGCUGCUUCAGCUAGUACUUGAUGAAUGGCUGACUAUGGAGAAACCACAAUCUUUUUACAGCUCUCAGAUUCAAGAAGAUUUGUUUGCAGAUGUGCUGAUAGAGGACCCCAUGCUGGUGCAAGAGAUAGCUUUGUCACUAUUAGGGAUGGGAGCAGAUGAAGAAAGAAUGGAAGGCAGAGGAAGACAGUUCUUGAUGCUGGAUUCCUUCUCCACGCUCCUGGAGCUUGUCACGCUCCGCCAUCGCUUGGUAGAGGUGGCAACAGAGAGUGCACAGUUAGCCAGGUUAUAUAAGGCUUUUGCAAUGGAAACAGGUUUUGGGGAGUUCCAUUUGUAUCUGAGGCCAGCACACUUUGAAUCUGCAGUUCACAAGGAGAAAGCAGACCAUCUCCCGCCAAUAUUCAUUACCUCUCUCUUGGAAGAUGACAGCUGUGUUGACAGAUAUAUCCCAUCUAGCUUACCAUUAAGCAUUCAAGAAAUCGACAGUCAUAUCGGAAAUUUUAGUUUUCGUACAAGAGAUGCUGUCAUGCAGCUCUUGUGUCCAUCUGGAAUAAAGAACAUGCAACUUAUCCUUGCCUGCCAGGUCACUCAGAAAAAUGCUCUUUUGGCAGCUGUUCAGCAAGCCUCAUUUUGUUACCUGGUCCAGCCUGCCCAUACCCUGGACAUAAAGGGAGGAAAUCUAAGUCUAACAUGUCAGAGGAGUUCAGCAAGUGGAAGAAAUUCAGUGUCUGGAAGCCAAGCAGAGGAUCAGCUGCUGCCAGCAACCACGCCGGACACAUCAUUUUCUGGGCGUUCUUCAGGUUUACACCAUGCCUUUCACAGGUAUUUGUUACAGACUGGCCAAGCCCCUGUCACUGGGUAGGGGUUGGUCUGAUGUACAUGCGAAUCCUGAGCACGUGCUGCUUUACAUUCUCAUAGUCCUCCUCAGUGAUAAAACAUAAUGACGUACUCUCGAUUGGAAGGCCAUGGUCACAGACUCCCCGCUUCUUGGUGUGACUCCGUCGGAGUAUUGUGGUCCUUUAGCCAUACCCCAUCAACGGGAUUCAAGCUUCACAUCAAAUUCUGUGGAGAUAACCUGUUAUUUAAAGGAGGAAAUCCAGAUAUCUCAUAGGGUUUUCUGAACAUCAGUGCCCUUACA
ensembl:lncRNA